UGGUGGAGUGAUUUGUCUGGUUAACUCCGUUAACGAACGAGACCUCGACCUGCUAAAUAGUUUGGCGAAUUCCCUGUGGAUUCGCACAUGACUUCUUAGGGGGACUAUCGGUUCGCAGCCGGUGGAAGUUCGAGGCAAUAACA
rnacentral:rRNA from 1 species